rnacentral:rRNA from 1 species
GACAGAGGUGCCCGAGCGUAGGCGGAAUCACUGGGCUUAAAGCGUGUGUAGGCCGGAUCGUUAAGUGCCUUAGUCGAAAGUCCCAUCGGCUUAACCACUGGGAACUGCUUGGCAUACUGGCGAUCUUGAGCCACUUAGGGGCAACCGGAACAAAUGGUGGAGCGGUGAAAUGCGUAGAUAUCAUUGGAACGCCCAAUGGUGAAAACAGGUUGCUGGGAGUGUGCUGACGUGAGACACGAAGACCAGGGGAGGCGAACGGG